CCAGAGUCUGAACCAGCUGCUUUGAAGAGAUCUUUCGAAUGAAUGGCUGAGCUGUGAAUUUCUAAGACUGUUGAUGAGAACAGAAGAAGGAACAGAUGGUGGCACCAUCCUGUCUCAACACCAAAUACUGUCCUGGAGUUGUACAUGGUGCAAAAAGCAUCCCCGUGUGGAGAAGCAGAUAGUGUUCCUGCAAAGCUGAGAUGUCAAGCAGAGGAUCCCCCGUGACAGCCAGCACUACUGCCAGGACCUGAUGCAGAGCUGGGGGCUGCCUGCGGGUGCCAAGCUGUAGCAGAGUGAGCAGAGUCUGGGGCGCUCAUGUUGGCAGAUCAACAUGGUGGAUUUUAUGGUGGAUCUCUACAGCUGAGGGACAACUGUCUGUGAAUUUCCAGGUCAUGUAACCUUGCUCACUCUUGUGGAAAGCUUGAGGACCUCCAGGAGGGGUUUAAAGAAGAGAUCUUCCUCUCCUGUUCA